CCGCCGCGCCUCCUAAUGACGCAAAUCACCCGCGUCCCAGGAGUCCUCAGCCAGCCGGGUACCCAAGGUCUCUCCCUGCGGAGCUCCGCAACCGGAAGCUAGCUCGCACUUCCUGAUGACGCACGGCCUGCUGCGCCUGGUGAUGGCUCCUGAGCACAUCUUGAGGAAACCUUGAUCAAGCUGUUGGACAGGUCGUUACGGAAUAUGUUUAAAAUGCCUCCGCGCCAAGCAUUGCUAUGGGCGACGUCUCCUAAUCAUAAACUUCAAAGAACUCAGGUAAUUUAAAGAAGACACAAACAUCUCAAUGAACUUAAAAGAGACCAGCAAUAAAUGCCAGCACAAUGGGGGAAAACACAAAUACAUGGACAAAUUAGAAUUUGAAGAACACCUUGGAUGUGAAAGCUGAACUCAAGAGAGAAAGAAAGACAGGAGAGAACUCAAGCUGAAGUGAAGAUGAAAGUGAGAAACACAACAUGACUAGGACAUUUAGGGGAGACAUUACAAACACAGCAUGACUAGGACAUUCAGGGGAGACAUUACAAACACAGCAUGACUAGGACAUUCAGGGGAGACAUUACAAGUAGAAUGGACCAAGUAGAAGAUCGCAUAUCAGGAACCAAAAACAAAGCAGAGAAGAUACAUCCACAAGCAAAGGAUAUAAAAAAUUAAAUCCCAUGCAAUGAAGAAAUGUAGAGCACCAUUAAAAGACUAAGUCUUCUAGUUAUAUGCACUCAUAAAGGAGAAGGAUCCCGGGACAAUGUUGGAGACCAGGUCUUUAGCAGGACCAUAGAAGGUGUCUCCAAAUGGAGGCAAGACCUACAAAGAUACAAGAAGCAAAUAAACGUCCCAUGUGUAUCGUAAACAAAGAAAGAGUAUUGAAAGAUGCAAGAGAAAGAAAGAGAGACAGAUACAAAGGAAAAACCCAACACAACAACAACCAGUUUCUCAACAGGAACUGUAAAAAUCAGUAGAGCCUAGAGCGAUGCACUUCAAAUCUGAAAAGACCACAGAUGCCAACCUAGACUACUACUGUACUACUGUACUGCUGUACUACUGUACUACUAUACUACUGUACCGCUGUACUGCUGUACUACUGUACUGCUGUACUGCUGUACUACUGUACUACUAUAAUACUGUACUACUGUACUACUGUACUGCUGUACUGCUGUACCACUGUACUGAUGUACUGCUGUACUACUGUACUACUAUAAUACUGUACUACUGUACUACUGUAUUACUGUACUACUGUACCACUGUACCGUUGUACCGCUGUACCGCUGUACUACUGUACUGCUGUACUGCUGUACUACUAGACUACUGUACUACUAGACUACUAGACUACUGUACUAUUGUACUACUGUACUACUAGACUACUAGACUACUGUACUAUUGUACUACUGUGCUACUGUGCUACUGUGCUACUGUACUACUGUACUACUAGACUACUGUACUACUGUACUACUAGACUACUAUACUACUAGACUACUGUACUACUGUGCUACUGUACUACUGUACUACUGUACUACUGUGCUACUGUACUACUGUACUACUAUACUACUGUAUACUGAAGAACCCUCAAUUGUCACUGAUGGAGAAAACAAGAUAUUUCAAGACACAUCCAAAUUUAAACAAUUUCUAUUCACAAAUUCAGCCCUGCAGAAAAUACUAGAAGGAAAAAUCCAAUCCAAGAAGGUAACUACAUCCAAGAAAACACAGGAAAUAAGUAAUUCCUUAUCAGCAAAAAACAAGGGAAGCACAGGCGUGUGCACACGCAUAUACUACUAACACCACCAACAUCAAAAGAACAGGAAUUAUAGGGGGGUUUGUGGAGGGGAAACUGAGAAAGGGGAUAACAUUUGAAAUGUAAACAAAUAAGAUAUCCAAUAAAAAGUAACAGGAAUUAAUAA